UGCUAGUGUAGCUUACCUAGCUCAUACUAGUGUAGCUUACCUAGCUCAUACUAGUGUAGCUUACCUAGCUCAUGCUAGUGUAGCUUACCUAGCUCAUGCUAGUGUAGCUUACCUAGCUCAUACUAGUGCUGGUUACCUUAGUUGAUGCCAGUGUAGGUUAGCAGCUAGUUGAUGCCAGUGUAGGUUAGCAGCUAGUUGAUGCCAGCGUAGGUUAGCAGCUAGUUGAUGCCAGUGUAGGUUAGUAGCUACUUGAUGCCAGUGUAGGUUAGUAGCUAGUUGAUGCCAGUGUAGGUUAGUAGCUAAUUGAUGCCAGUGUAGGUUAGCAGCUAGUUGAUGCCAGUGUAGGUUAGCAGCUAGUUGAUGCCAGUGUAGGUUAGCAGCUAGUUGAUGCCAGUGUAGGUUAGUAGCUAGUUGAUGCCAGUGUAGGUUAGCAGCUAGUUGAUGCCAGUGUAGGUUAGCAGCUAGUUGAUGCCAGUGUAGGUUAGCAGCUAGUUGAUGCCAGUGUAGGUUAGUAGCUAGUUGAUGCCAGUGUAGGUUAGUAGCUAGUUGAUGCCAGUGUAGGUUAGCAGCUAGUUGAUGCCAGUGUAGGUUAGCAGCUAGUUGAUGCCAGUGUAGGUUAGCAGCUAGUUGAUGCCAGUGUAGGUUAGUAGCUAAUUGAUGCCAGUGUAGGUUAGCAGCUAGAUGAUGCCAGUGUAGGUUAGUAGCUAGUUGAUGCCAGUGUAGGUUAGCAGCUAGUUGAUGCCAGUGUAGGUUAGUAGCUAAUUGAUGCCAGUGUAGGUUAGCAGCUAGUUGAUGCCAGUGUAGGUUAGUAGCUAGUUGAUGCCAGUGUAGGUUAGCAGCUAGUUGAUGCCAGUGUAGGUUAGUAGCUAAUUGAUGCCAGUGUAGGUUAGCAGCUAGUUGAUGCCAGUGUAGGUUAGUAGCUAGUUGAUGCCAGUGUAGGUUAGUAGCUAAUUGAUGCCAGUGUAGGUUAGCAGCUAGUUGAUGCCAGUGUAGGUUAGUAGCUAGUUGAUGCCAGUGUAGGUUAGCAGCUAGAUGAUGCCAGUGUAGGUUAUCAGUUAGUUCAUGCCAAUGUAGGUUACCUAAUUGAUGCUAGUUAUUGACCUACAAUAGUUAAUACUAAUCUAGCUACUUAGCUACAGUAGUUGAUAGUAGUGCAAAAUUCAUUAUAUUUAGUUACAUUCUCUGAAGUGUUUAGUGAUAUGGAAAAGGCUCAUACUUGUUACUAAUUUAGUGUUUGAGCCUCUGACUACAGUGUGGCGAUAGUCCUAAUAUUACCUCUCUAGUAUUUUGUGAUGUAUAACGUGUGUGCCAAAGGGGAUAUUAUGUUGUACUUAAGGGAUAAGUUUGACAUUCUUGUAGCACAUGCAAAUAUGAACUGUAUUCUUAAUGCAGAAUUUCUAGUUUAGCAAAAUAGUAGAUGUUGGGGUUUAAUUAAGAAGGUCCUUAGCUUCAUAAUUUUCAACUCUUGUUAAUACAGUUAUAGUCCUAUCAGUGAUUUAUGUGUCUGUUGUGUGUUAUUAAAGGCUAGUUUUUGAGUGAUCUGAAAUUAUUAAAAUAAGAUGAAUUAUCUUUUAUUUUAUUUAUUUGUAUCUUGAGAAAAAAAAAAAUCCUGCAACAAAUUAACUUUAUUGGUUUAUGAGUAAUUUGGACUAUUGUAAUAUGAAAGGCAACUUUAACUAGUUGUGAAUGUUCAGGUCAUUUGUUUCAAUACAUUUGUUUAACUUU